CUAACUCUAAUGGUGGUGACCAUUACUCCCUCUCUGCAGCCUGCCCAGUACGGGGUCUGCGUUUCUCUGCCCCCCACCGCACCACCACUCCGCCCUCGGGCUGCUGUGGCCCGAUCUUAUCCCUUUUUCAUCAGGCUGCCUAACUGACCGGAAAAUGCAAACGCAUCCCUAAAUGCUUGAAACCCCCCCAACAACCCUCAGCCUUCCCCCGCCCCCACCUUCCGGGAAGCCCGGCCCCAGCGCCAGCCUGACGAGCAGCACUUAAUUCUUUAUUGAAAACCAUUAACUGGAGUUCAGUUCUCUGAGCCCCAGUUUCAAAUUACCCACAGGAAACGCCAGGCUGAGAGAGUGGCUUUCAAGGGCAGAGUCAUCUCCUCGAAGAGACUGGCUCCGGGACUGGGGCUGUGGGGACUUAUUUAUUUUGAGAGGCAGUAACAGCAACGGCAGCAAUCAUUUCAACUCCUGGAUGCAUAAGAGCGGGCGAAGCACCCUCCUCUUCCUGCUCUUCCUCCCUCUCUUUAACAAUAACCCAAAGCAGCAAGGCUGGCAGGAAGUAUUAUCACCCAGGAUGGAUGGGAAACCGAUGGCCUGAGGGUCACACAAGCAAGCAGGCAGUCAGGCUCCGGAUCUCCCUGCCAGUGAGCCCCAUGACCCUCCUGUCACAGCACUUCAUGGACCACCCAUAGCGGGGCCUGCCCGGUGAGAAGCACUGCAAGGGAGACAGAUCCUAUUCAGCUCUCUGGAAAGCCCAGUGCAAUAAGCCUGCUCCUCUGUCCAUAACGCCCCUUCGGAUGGAUGAAGACAACAGCUGUUGUUCUCACAUCUCCUCUUUCCAGCCAAACACUCCCAGAUUUUGCACCCAAUAUGAUUACCAAAUUGCUAGAGGAUUUAGCCACCCUUGAGAAAGAAACAAGAAAGAACAAACAAUAGAAGUAGUUCCCUGGUGCCCGGGCUGCUCUCUUGCCUCUGGAUCGGCAGCCAGCACCGCAGUGAACUACCCGCGGAAAACAACAGUCACAGCCUGUUUGCCUUCCCCAGUCCCUCAAGUCCCACAGCCAAGCUGGACACCAGCUUGGACACUCCAGGGAUCUGUCUCCACCUAAACCUUGUCUCGUCCCUGCCCCUGACUGGCCCUUAUUUGAGCUGGGUCCAUUUUCUUGGCCAUGUUGCUGAUUGCAGUGCACGCUCAUUCCAGAAAAUGCCGACCUCUGCUCCAAGCCGCCUUGUCGGCAGUUUCCCAGACAUAGCUGGACUGUUUAUUUAUUUAUUUUUGUGUUAGCAGAGAGGAGAAAAUCACAUCGGCCUAAAAUGAAUACUAAUGAAAUGCCUUCGUUAGCUUCCUUUGUGAUCAGAAUAAAAAAUCGGAUUUCCGCAGAAUUGCAAGCCAUACAUUUCUUUCCCCCAACCUUUUUUUUUUUUAAUUUUUUGCCCUUUCCUCUGAUAGGAAGAUUAGGGACAACCAAGAAGGAGAGUUAAAGUCAUUCCAUAAAAGAUAUCUGCAUUUUUAGGGGUGCCUUUGUUGCAGAGGGACGUGGAGGUGCAAUUUCUCCAAACCCACUUUUCUCAGCCUGUAAAGCAAAUGUACCUAUUUGUCCUCUGCUGCAACAAUGCCAGCUGCAUUCAAUCAACUGAGAAGCUGCAAGCCAUAAACCUUCUUCCCCCAGCUACAGGGGUGGAGGUGGGGGGAGGGA